GUCAACAUGGCGGAAGCACACAAAGGACGGUUUACAAUCAUAAAUAGAUUGCAAAGUUGGAAAAUGUUGGAGAUGGUCAGAACACACAAGCAAGAGGAAGUAAAUGGAGAGGGAAGGCAAACAAUAUUGUAGCCAAUUGACAAGAAAAGAAAAAGAAGGAUGACCAAGAAAAAAAAUGGAGUGGAAAACUCGGUGAAGAACACAGAACUCCCCAUUAAGUGAAUUGUACCUACGUCCACUCGAAUUCAACUUGUUCAUCGUGAACCCUCGAUAAGCCAUCAAGACUUUAUA